rnacentral:rRNA from 1 species
UACUGUAUACCUUACACAGCUAGUCAAAGCCUGAUCUCGUCAGACCUUAGAAACUAAGCAGCGCUGGGCCUGGUCAGUACUUGGAUGGGAGACCACUGGGAAUAUCAGGGGCCACAGUGU